AUGCAUGUCUAAGUAUAAGCAAUUAUACGGCGAAACUGCGAAUGGCUCAUUAUAUAAGUUAUCGUUUAUUUGAUAGUACCUUACUACUUGGAUAACUGUGGUAAUUCUAGAGCUAAUACAUGCUAAAAAUCCCGACUCCGGAAGGGAUGUAUUUAUUAGAUUAAAAACCAAUGCCCUCUGGGCUCUCUGGUGAUUCAUGAUAACUUCUCGAAUCGCAUGGCCUUGCGCCGGCGAUGGUUCAUUCAAAUUUCUUCCCUAUCAACUUUCGAUGUUUGGGUAGUGGCCAAACAUGGUUGCAACGGGUAACGGAGGGUUAGGGCUCGACCCCGGAGAAGGAGCCUGAGAAACGGCUACUACAUCCAAGGAAGGCAGCAGGCGCGCAAAUUACCCAAUCCCGAUUCGGGGAGGUAGUGACAAUAAAUACUGAUACAGGGCUCUUUUGGGUCUUGUAAUCGGAAUGAGUACAAUUUAAAUCCCUUAACGAGGAACAANNNNNNNNNNNNNNNNNNNNNNNNNNNNNNNNNNNNUCCAGCUCCAAUAGCGUAUAUUAAAGUUGUUGUGGUUAAAAAGCUCGUAGUUGAACCUUGGGCCUGGCUGGCCGGUCCGCCUCACCGCGUGUACUGGUCCGGCCGGGCCUUUCCCUCUGUCGAACCCCAUGCCCUUCACUGGGCGUGGCGGGGAAACAGGACUUUUACUUUGAAAAAAUUAGAGUGCUCCAGGCAGGCCUAUGCUCGAAUACAUUAGCAUGGAAUAAUGAAAUAGGACGUGCGGNUCUAUUUUGUUGGUUUCUAGGACCGCCGNAAUGAUUAAUAGGGACAGUCGGGGGCAUCAGUAUUCAAUUGUCAGAGGUGAAAUUCUUGGAUUUAUUGAAGACUAACUACUGCGAAAGCAUUUGCCAAGGAUGUUUUCAUUAAUCAGGAACGAAAGUUAGGGGAUCGAAGACGAUCAGAUACC
rnacentral:rRNA from 1 species